rnacentral:rRNA from 1 species
GAUGAACGCUGGCGGCGUGCCUAAUACAUGCAAGUCGAGCGAACAGACGAGGAGCUUGCUCCUCUGACGUUAGCGGCGGACGGGUGAGUAACACGUGGAUAACCUACCUAUAAGACUGGGAUAACUUCGGGAAACCGGAGCUAAUACCGGAUAACAUGUUGAACCGCAUGGUUUAACAGUGAAAGACGGUCUUGCUGUCACUUAUAGAUGGAUCCUCGCCGCAUUAGCUAGUUGGUAAGGUAACGGCUUACCAAGGCAACGAUGCGUAUCCGGCCUGAAAGGGAGAAAGGCAACAAUGGAGCAAAGAAGAAGUACAGAAUCAAGAGAGAGGCAGAAGUAGGAAAUCUUAAGCGAUGAGCGAAAGGCUGACGGAGAAAAACAGCGUGAGUAAAGAAGGUAUUCAGAUCAUAGAACUCUGUUAAUAGAGAAGAACGAAUGUGUGAGUAACUAAGGACAUCAUGACGGUACCUAGUGAGAAAGCCACGGCUAACUACGUG